rnacentral:rRNA from 1 species
CGGGGUGAGUAAUGUAUGGGGAUCUGCCUGAUGGCGGGGGGUAACUACUGGAAACGGUAGCUAAUACCGCAUAAUGUCUGCGGACCAAAGCGGGGGGACCUCCGGGCCUCGCGCCAUCAGAUGAACCCAUAUGGGAUUAGCUAGUAGGUAAGGUAACGGCUUACCUAGGCGACGAUCCCUAGCUGGUCUGAGAGGAUGAUCAGCCACACUGGGACUGAGACACGGCCCAG